GGGCUCGUAGUCUAGCGGUUAUCAGGUGCGUUGACGCCUUCGGCGUCCAUUUGCCUAGACUGCAAAUGACGCUGCCUUGACGUGGCAGAGGUCGUCGGUUCGAAUCCGGCCGAGCCCA
rnacentral:tRNA from 1 species